CCCUACGGGGUGCAGCAGGCGGAAACGCCAGUAUUUUGUGAAAACCCCCGGCUUAACCGGGGAAUUGCUCGGUAAACUGCGUUUCUUGAGGCAAGCAGGGGUGUGUGGAACUCUUGGUGGAGCGGUGGAAUGCGUAGAUAUCAAGAGGAACGCCGCAGGUGAAGACAGCACACUGGGCUUGUCCUGACGCUCAGGCACGAAAGCGUGGGGAGCAAACA
rnacentral:rRNA from 1 species